CCUAUAAUCGUUUUAAUCGAUGGGGGGACGCAGUAGGAUAGGCGAAGCGUGCGAUUGGAUUGCACGUCUAAGCAGUAAGGCUGAGUAUUAGGCAAAUCCGGUACUCGUUAAGGCUGAGCUGUGAUGGGGAGAAGACAUUGUGUCUUCGAGUCGUUGAUUUCACACUGCCGAGAAAAGCCUCUAGAUAGAAAAUAGGUGCCCGUACCGCAAACCGACACAGGUA
rnacentral:rRNA from 1 species